CAUUUAAUUACGAUAAAAGAAAACUAGGCAGGAUAGUACGGAGGCCGGAUAGUCGCGAACCGGAUACUCGAGAGUGUACUGUAUUUCUAUGCAUCAAUUAAAUUGCCAUGCCUCUUUUUAAAUCCAGUCAUUCAAUCUUGUUUUUUUUUUUUUUUUUUGAUGGAUUAUUCCUUAUCGCAAUUAUAUCGAUAAAAAUGAUUUUUGUAGACUUUGAAAUUAAGUUUUCAUCAAGCCAAAUAUUUCGAUAUUUCGUUUCGCGAAAAAUAAUGUCGGACAUUAAAAAAUUAAACGUCGAACACACCAGUCUUCACCAUGCUAGAAAAGCUUUGUAUUGUUGAUUGUUCUUUCUGAUGCUGUUAUGAGUUAUUUCCUCCAUUGUUGGCCGACCUCAUAUGGCUUUGACAUCGCGCUGAGGACAAAAACCUCCCCAGCCCUCAUUAGUUUUAUGUAUAUAUGCGUUUGAGAUUGCCAGAAAAUUUUUAGUGAUUCACAACAGUAUACGGAAACGUCUCAUUCAGUUCUUCGAGAAUGUCCAGAACCAAAAUCUUAUUUUUAUUCUGUUCCCAUUCUAAAACAAACGGCGAAGGAACUUAUCUUGAGGGCUCGGAAUCUGUAUAUAGCAGUUUAUUCAUUCCCGUUUAAAAUUUUUGAGUUUUUUUUACUAAAUUCAUAAAUUUGUCAUUGGGAACUGGCAACAUUUUGAAUCAUUUUUAAGCUCUGGUUCCAUCCUUGGAGAAUUUUUGGUCGAGGACUGUAAGGUUAAGUUUAACGACUGUCAUUCGACUAACUUCUAGUAGAUUAUAAAAGUGCACGGUACGCACGCUCUACUUGCUGUCACUCGACCAAAAGCGCUUGACUAAUGGCAGCUGGCAAAAUGUUUUACUUUAUUUUAUCUAUCCCGUCAUAAGACAUGGUUGAUAAGAAUAUCCUAUCGUUUACAUUUGACCAGUUCAGAGUAUUUAAAAGCGAACAGUAUGUAUACUCUUUUUCACCCUCUUCUCCGGUUCCCGCUGAUUAGGAAAUGCCAUAACUAUUCAGUCCUUCCAAUUACAGCUUUUUAUUAUGUCAUCGUUAGUCUGGCACACAAUUUAUUACAACGAUUGGCGCAGGAAAAAUAGAACGGUUGUACUGCAAAUAUAUAUAUAUAUUAACUGUAGUUUUGCCCUCUUCUGGGUCAGUCGUACUUUUCUGCGAAAGCAUCUACUACGUUCGUA
rnacentral:lncRNA from 1 species